AGCGAACGCUGGCGGCAGGCUUAACACAUGCAAGUCGAGCGCCGUAGCAAUACGGAGCGGCAGACGGGAGAGUAACACGUGGGAACGUACCUUUCGGUUCGGAAUAACUCAGGGAAACUUGAGCUAAUACCGAAUACGUCCGUAAGGAGAAAGAUUUAUCGCCGAAAGAUCGGCCCGCGUCCGAUUAGCUAGUUGGUGGGGUAAUGGCUCACCAAGGCGACGAUCAGUAGCUGGUCUGAGAGGAUGAUCAGCCACAUUGGGACUGAGACUCGGCCCAAACUCUUAUCGGGAAGGCAGCAGUGGGGAAUAUUGGACAAUGGGCGCAAGCCUGAUCCAGCCAUGCCGCGUGAGUGAUGAAGGCCCUAGGGUUGUAAAGCUCUUUCAGCAGGGACGAAGCGCAAGUGACGGUACCUGUAGAAGAAGCACCGGCCAACUACGUGCCAGCAGCCGCGGUAAUACGUAGGGGGCGAGCGUUGUCCGAAAUCACUGGGCGUAAAGCGUGCGUAGGCGGUUUGUUAAGUCCGAAGUGAAAGUCCAGGGCUCAACCUUGGGAUUGCUUUGGAAACUGGCAGACUUGAGUGCUGGAGAGGCAAGGGGAAUUCCACGUGUAGCGGUGAAAUGCGUAGAUAUGUGGAGGAAUACCAGUGGCGAAGGCGCCUUGCUGGACAGUGACUGACGCUGAGGCACGAAAGCGUGGGGAGCAAACAGGAUUAGAUACCCUGGUAGUCCACGCCGUAAACGAUGAGUGCUAGGUGUUGGGGGGUACCACCCUCAGUGCCGAAGGAAACCCAAUAAGCACUCCGCCUGGGGAGUACGGUCGCAAGACUGAAACUCAAAGGAAUUGACGGGGGCCCGCACAAGCAGUGGAGCAUGUGGUUUAAUUCGAAGCAACGCGAAGAACCUUACCAGGGCUUGA
rnacentral:rRNA from 1 species